GCGGUAUCCUAACCGUGCAAAGGUAGCGCAAUCAAUUGUCCCAUAAAUCGAGACUAGUAUGAAUGGCUAAACGAGGUCUUAACUGUCUCUUACAGGCAAUCGGUGAAAUUGAUCUCCCUGUACAAAAGCAGGGAUAAACCCAUAAGACGAGAAGACCCUGUGGAACUUCAAAACCAGCAACCACCUUAAAUCACAUACUCACCUACCAGGCUCACUGACACACAAGAUCCUGGCCCGCGUUUUUCGGUUGGGGCGACCUUGGAGCAAAACAAAACCUCCAAAAAUUGGACCAUACCUCUAGACCAAGAGCAACCUCUCAACGUGCUAACAGCAUCCAGACCCAAUACAAUUGAUCAAUGGACCAAGCUACCCCAGGGAUAACAGCGCA
rnacentral:rRNA from 1 species